rnacentral:lncRNA from 1 species
GAAGACCGGAUUCUUUCGACCCAGUGACGAUGAAUAAGGCGAAGAAGAAGUCGAGACUAGGAGUGAUCUCGAUCUCUUGACAUAAGGCGAUAAAAAAAACUAAAUGGAUGUAUGAGUUCGACACAAGCUGUGCAAACCCGAUCCCAGCAAAACAGAGGAAGGAAGAGAUGAAUUCAUGAAGUGGGAACCGAACCCCAUAUUUUAGAAGGUAUAGGGGAAUGGCCACCCAUUCGCCC